AUACACACACACGCAGCUUUUCUUUCUUCUCUCCCGACCGUCCCUCUCUCUCCUGUGUUUCAAAUUCCGGCCACCCAUAGCCCUCACGCGCCAGCCACCAAGGAAGCCCGCCACCUCGCGAGCUUGGCCGCCAAGUUUCACGGCCAGCCACCGCCGGACGCACGCCGAUCGGGCCGGAGAAGUCGCCGGCCGGCCAAGUUUCUCUCUCCUCUUUUCUUGUGUUUUCCGGCCAGCCCAGUCCCAAUUGAGCCUCCUAUCCCCCUAUUUUGGGUCCUCUGAAUCCAAAAAUGGCCUCCAAUCCUAGAAAUUCGAAGCGGUUUGCGAGAUAUGGGGAAGUGAACACCGGCCGAAACUUCCCGACCAAAUUCCGGCCACCUCCGGCGGAAUUGGGGUCGAUGGAGACCGGAUUUGUGAUCCUCGUCCCACGAGCUUCGAUUCGGAGCACCGGUGAGUCGUAGAAUUGAUCCCGUGGUGGAUCUUGGAUUAAUUGCGUGUUCCAGGUGAGUGACCCACCUUUAAAAAUAUUUUUGGGAUAAUUAAUUGUAUUUAUGUGGUAUUAAUUUGAUAUUUGUAAUUUCUGCUUAUGUGGUGUACUUUAAAUAUAAUCGGGAAAAAAUAUUAUUUUAUAUAUAUUUACCCAUUGGUAAUAAAUGGAAAUUUUGGGAUUAUUAAGAAAUUCCCGAUUAUUAUUUUAUUGUGGUUUAAUUUAUUACUAUGCAUGAGCGAAGUGGAUUUCGGUAUUAAUUGUACAUGAUUUUAAGUAAUAAUUUCCGGGCAUAAUUGGGUUAAAUAUUUUACGAAAAUAUUUGGUUUAAUUUUAUAAAUUAUGCCCGCGGUAUUUCAAUUGUUGAAUCUCGUAUUACGAGAAAAGAUAUGGUUUUAUCUGUUAUCGAUGUUUUCGUACCGGGUUGUUGAAUAAAAAUAUGUGGGAUGGUGUUUUGUGAAAAUUUGGUAUACUUCCCACGGUAAUUUUGUAAAACGGUACGGUUGGUUAUUAUUGUUUAUUUUUAGACGCACUCAUACAGUAUUGGUGUUCUGGUGUAUGGUGUAUGGACACGUGGUAGUGCGCGGUUAUUAUCUGGUUUAGCGCACGGUUAUUACUUCACCCGUGAGUUGCCAUUGGACCGUGGGCAGGCAAGGUUAUUGUUGCGCAUAGCCGCCCCCCUCCUUGGCCGGGUUGAUGGUUUUUAGCAGUCGGUACUGUCGGGACGCCGAAGUGACCACUGCAGGUUUCUCUCUUUAACCUCCCGCCAGUCGGUGCUCGGGACGCUGGGUAUCGGAGGGCAUCACCGGUAUAUGGUGUGGUGCGUCAGGUGUAAUUGUCGGUGUAAAUUGCAAUUAAAGUUUAAAACCCCAAAGGUGUUCAAAAAAAAUUAUUUAUUAUAAUUUAUUACAGAAUAUUUAUAUUUGGGGUAUUUAUUUAUUUGUUUAUUAAUUCGUUUGGUUCCUUGGUUUUUGGGAAGUACGUACAAGGGUUUUGUGAAAAUGUUUUAAAAGGGGAACAUUUCAAACAGAGUGAAUAGUGAGGGUUUUGAGAGAAAUUAUUACUUCAAAUAUUUAUUUAUUUAUUUAUUUAAUUGUUCGGUAUUGCUUAAUUAAAUUCCUUUAUUUUUAUAUUAUUAUUAUUAAAGGUGUAUAGUAGAUAGGGUCACUCACUGAGAUGAUUAGCAUCUCACACUCUUAAAUUCCGUUCCCCUAGGUCCAGGUUGGAGACGUUGAUUGUCCGGGGCGAGCCCGACGUCUCAGUUCGUUGCCGAAGGUUCAAGAAGUUUUUCUUUCCUUUUUCCUCUCUAUCUUGUAUUGUUUCCGUAUCUGUCAUUUUAUAAAUUCCGCAUGUUUCUGUAUAACGCUCUGUAUACUGUAUUGGACGUGUUGUUUUUAUUUAUGCACUGGGUUGCUGCUGUUGUUUUA